rnacentral:rRNA from 1 species
AGAGUUUGAUCCUGGCUCAGAUUGAACGCUGGCGGAAUGCUUUACACAUGCAAGUCGAGCGGCAGCACGGGGGCAACCCUGGUGGCGAGCGGCGAACGGGUGAGUAACACAUCGGAACAUGCCCAGUCGUGGGGGAUAACACUUCGAAAGAAGUGCUAAUACCGCAUACGUCCUGAGGGAGAAAGCGGGGGAUCGCAAGACCUCGCGCGAUUGGAGUGGCCGAUGUCAGAUUAGCUAGUUGGUGGGGUAAAGGCCUACCAAGGCAACGAUCUGUAGCUGGUCUGAGAGGAUGAUCAGCCACACUGGGACUGAGACACGGCCCAGACUCCUACGGGAGGCAGCAGAGGGGAAUUUUGGACAAUGGGGGCAACCCUGAUCCAGCCAUUCCGCGUGAGUGAAGAAGGCCUUCGGGUUGUAAAGCUCUUUCGGCAGGAACGAAACGGUGAGCUCUAACAUAGCUUGCUAAUGACGGUACCUGAAGAAGAAGCACCGGCUAACUACGUGCCAGCAGCCGCGGUAAUACGUAGGGUGCGAGCGUUAAUCGGAAUUACUGGGCGUAAAGCGUGCGCAGGCGGUUGUGUAAGACAGGUGUGAAAUCCCCGGGCUUAACCUGGGAACUGCGCUUGUGACUGCACAGCUAGAGUAUGGCAGAGGGGGGUGGAAUUCCACGUGUAGCAGUGAAAUGCGUAGAGAUGUGGAGGAACACCGAUGGCGAAGGCAGCCCCCUGGGCCAAUACUGACGCUCAUGCA